GUGGGGAAUCUUAGACAAUGGGGGAAACCCUGAUCUAGCCAUGCCGCGUGAGCGAUGAAGGCCUUAGGGUUGUAAAGCUCUUUCAGCUGGGAAGAUAAUGACGGUACCAGCAGAAGAAGCCCCGGCUAACUCCGUGCCAGCAGCCGCGGUAAUACGGAGGGGGCUAGCGUUGUUCGGAAUUACUGGGCGUAAAGCGCGCGUAGGCGGACCAGAAAGUUGGAGGUGAAAUCCCAGGGCUCAACCUUGGAACUGCCUUUGAAACUCCUGGUCUUGAGGUCGAGAGAGGUGAGUGGAAUUCCGAGUGUAGAGGUGAAAUUCGUAGAUAUUCGGAGGAACACCAGUGGCGAAGGCGGCUCACUGGCUCGAUACUGACGCUGAGGUGCGAAAGCGUGGGGAGCAAACAGGAUUAGAAACCCGGGUAGUCC
rnacentral:rRNA from 1 species